GACCAAGGCUUCUCUUGCUCUGGGGUUUCCUUUGCAGCCAAGCCCUGCCUCUAUGACACUCCAAUAAAUGAGGCCUGGUUGAUAUUUUAUCCUUCAGUAUCCUGGCCAGCAGUCUGGGGAAGCUGUAGAGACCUGGCCUCACAUUCCAUGUGUCUACUGAGGAAUUAUAUCUGAGGGCUUAUGAAAGGAUAGCGUCCUGAACCAGGCAUUUCAGGGGGAUCCAACAACUUCACCAAGGCCUUGGUCUUUCCUCCAGGAGACGAUGUUCCGAAUCCUCAAGAGGUGGUUUCAUCCACGUUGGGUGCCAGUUGCCCCGGCCAACAGGGCUUCAAUGGGAACUCAUCCUCCCUAAGGACAGAAUGAUAGGAACAGGAGACACAAAAGGAAUACACCAAGACAAGAUUCUGAUCAAGGUCCUGUUCCUUGGCAUCUGGCUUGAGUCUCCCUGACUCCACCCUUCCUCUUCCCAUCAUUCUCCUAGCUUGGUUGUCCCACCUAUAACUUCUACCUGGCGACCAGCCAAUCAGUUUUUUAUUAAACCAAUCUGAGUGACA